CAGAGUUGCAAAACUCCCAACCCUUUGUGAACGUACUGAAAAGUUGCUUCGGCGGGAGGCUCCUCAGGGAGCGGACCGCCGGAGGAAUCCAAACUCUUGUUUUUUUGGCAUCUCUGAGUAGCUUAUAAAUAAGUU
rnacentral:misc_RNA from 1 species